CUCAUUUCACCAAUGAAAAGGCACUGGCAACAUCUCCUAUGCAGAUUAGCCGCAGCCUCCGGUGCCGAUUUAGCAAAGCCAUGAUUGACCAGAUCCGAGGCUCGCUGCCCUGUGGAGCUGCUUCCUAAUUAUGUUACUUCAAGCACCCAUCCCCAGGGUGCAGGUUAAAGUUAACCAGCACACUAAUGUACAUCAAGCAGUGUAGGCGGAGGCGCAGUUCUGAAGACAGUCACCAAUACGCGGCAAAUACCUAUUUAGUUACUGGCACCCACUAUGUACCAGCCACUGUGCUGGGCACGGAUGGACACACAUCAGCCCCUGCCCGCAUGGUGGAACAGGGAUAUGGGAGAGAAAGACAACAAACAACUCGGUGUACAAAUAGUCAACUACAGUGGAAAAGCAAAGAUUAAAUCCUCAUACCUCUCUGGAAAAGUGGAGGGGACCACAUUCCAGCAUCUGGUGCCUUGUUUGCCCCAAACAUGACUUCAAGUGAAUCGACAUAAUACUCUUCCAGAGGGAAAGCAGAACCAUCUGCAGGGCUGAGGGACCAAGAAACACAGUGAGGAAUUCCACAGGAGGCCCACGCGGAGGGAUGUGACACCCCAGGUGGACUCUAGGGGACGCUCACUUGGAACUUGCAUCACCCGGAACUGUGUCUGCCACUGUGACUUCAGAGCAGCACAGACCUGAGGUGGAUCCAGCAAUGCCCACAACUGUCCAACAAUUUCACUUUUCCGAGGCUCAGUUUCCAUGUGGAAAAUGGACUGGCUCUGAGUAUUAAAUGAGGAUGAAUGUCCAUAUGCCUCACCCCUUUCUUCAUGAAAGGAAG
rnacentral:lncRNA from 10 species